rnacentral:lncRNA from 1 species
UGGUUUGGGGUUUAGGAUUUAGAUUCGGGUUUGAUUUAGGAUUUAGGAUUUGGUUAGGAUUUGAUUUAGGGUUUGAUUUAGGAUUUAGGAUUUGGAUAGGAUUUGAUUUAGGGUUUAGGAUUUGGUUUAGGAUUUGGUUUAGGGUUUGGAUUAAGGUUUGGUUUAGGAUUUGGUUUAGGGUUUAGGAUUUGGAUUAGGGUUUGGUUUAGGGUUUGGUUUAGGAUUUAGGGUUUGGAUUAGGAUUUGAUUUAGGGUUCGGUUAGGAUUUGAUUUAGGAUUUAGGAUUUGAUUGGGGUUUGAUUUAGGGUUCACGAUUUUAUUAGGAUUUAAGAUUCAAUUAGUUUGGCUUAAAGUUUGAAUGAAGUUCAAUAGGAUUUUAACUAGAAUUAAAUUAAGAUUGAAUUGAGAUGUAUUUGAAUGACAUUUUCUUCUUUCUAAUGUUUCUUUAAAAAUUCCUAUUGUUUGUUUGAAAUUUCUUUGAGAUUUUUUUAAAUUUGAUUAAACUUGCUUAGCAUUAUUAUAGUCUA